AUGCAGGAAACUCGGAGGAAGAACGAUCUCUCCUACCUAUGUGACCUUUUGGGGAAAUCGUUCAGUGCUGUCUUACUUCAGAUUGAGACACUGAACAAGAAAAUUGAUCUUCUUUUUAAAGGAAUUUCCCUGAUUGUGGAAAAUCCAUCCCCUAUAGACAGUAGAGUAACUAUACCAGUCAAUCUCGCUAACCUGGAAGAGGAAUUUAGUGCUCUGGAAGGCCAAAGGAGGAAGAGGCUGGAGGAGCAGAAGGUAGCUAAUGGGUUAGAUGCUGAAGUGACUAGUGAGGGAAGGGGGCUGCUAUCUGGGGGAGAGGGACAGGGGAGGGAUGGGUGGAAGGAGAUCAACAGAGCCUCUUGGAGGACUAACAAGGCGUCAUCCUCUGAAUUGAUUGGACAAUCACUGGACAUUCCCUGCAAUCCCCAGCUUCUGUUACGAACUAAUAGGGUGGCAGUGGAAGUUUCAGAUUCAAUACUGAACAGAGGCAGAUGGUCAUCUAAGCGAGCGGUACAGACAUCUCUAUCACAAAUACUAUCUGUAAGCCGGCCGGAAGUGAAGAUUGAGACUAUUGACUGGCUUCGUAGAGAUCACCAUUCUUGGAACCGCUCCCUACGCCUCCUCAUUGGACUGGAAGACAAAUUGUUGUUGGAGGAACUGCUCUCGCUUGGGCCUAAAUUACAACUGCUGGGCAUCACUCUUAGAAGAGUAUUAGUAGAUCCAGUGAUUCGCCCCUUGGUCAGCGGGCUGACCUCCGACACACAAGAUUUAGUAACCUCUAACAACGGGGUCGAACGCUCGCCGGUGUUGGCCCCCUUUUCAGAGUUCCACUUUGAGACUCCCUCCCCAAUUUUAAACUAUGCCGGUCCCACCUCUCAACCCUGCCCACAGACAUUACCCUUGUUCAGCCCCCUGUCAAUGUCAGAUGACGUUAAGUCAGAUGACUCCUUCUCUUUACCUCUAAUGGAGAUGGGUCCCUUCCUUAAUCAAACAAAUACCUCUGUGGGCCCCACAUUUCAGAACAGCUGA
ensembl:lncRNA